ACUCAAAGGAAUUGACGGGGACUUGCACAAGCAGAGGAUUAUGUGGUUUAAUUCGAUGGCAAACGAAGAACCUUACCAAGAUUUGAAACCUAGCUGAAUCUAUUUGGAAACAGAUAGAGUCCCACAAGGACAGUUAGGCAGGUGAUGCAUGGCCGUCGUCAGUUCGUGAUUUGAAUUGUUCCCUUAAGUGGGGUAACGAACGCAACCCUCGUUGUCUGUUACACGUAUCAGGCGAGACUGCCCAGCUUUUUGUACACAAGCGCAUGCUUGCAGACAAGAAGCUGGGAGGAAGGCGAGGAUGACGCCAGGUCAGCAUGUCCCUUUGAUAUCUUGGGCUACACACAUAAUACAAUGGCGGCUACAACGGGUCGCGACGGGGAAACCCUGAGCCAAUCCUAAUAAAAGCCGCCCCAGUUCAGAUUGAGGGCUGAAACUCGACCUCAUGAAGUUGGAUUUGCUAGUAAUCGCGGGUCAGACAUACCGCGGUGAAUACGUUCUCAAGUCUUGUACACACCGCCCGU
rnacentral:rRNA from 1 species